ensembl:lncRNA
GCGAAUUGUGUCUGAAAGGGGAUGAUACCCAUCGGAAUGCUAAUGGUGCCGAAUAUUUCAGAGACCGCAGGCCGUUGGAGGCAGCUUAGAAAUCUCUUACAUCUGGAAGAGCCAUAAUUCACGGGAUUUGGCCCAACAGCCGUGACAGGCAUUGGGGCGGCCAGCAGCAACUGUCUCCCGUGUUAGCGGCGAGUGUGUGAGAGGGAGACGGCGAGUGAGAGACAAAGAGUGACAAAUACACAGCGUGCGUCCACUUGGACCUGCAUGUGUGCGCAGUAACCGGGUAUGUUACGAAAGUACGGCACCGCGCGUUAAGCUACUUCCUGCAAGACCGGUAGUCCACGACACUUAUUACAUUAUUUCACAGCUGUUGUUACUUUGUGGAUCAACACAUAGCGUGUCGCAUUACUAUAUUUGAUGUGAUGUCAGUCAGCAUCAUCGACACACACGUAACAAUGCAUCAAUCAUUUUGAUCCAAUAACAAAAAUCUAACAAUAGUGUGUAACAACAUUAGACUUGAAAAGGGGACCAUUUGGCAUCGUUUGUAUUUUUUAUACCUUUGUUUUAUUUUUCCUUAUUCAACAUACUGCAUAUUUUACUUGAGCAAAAGUUCUAGACAUUUCUUCUACCAGAUGUCGUACAAACUCUCACUAAAUUGUGCAAUCCGUGAGAAGAAAAAAGAAAAGGUUUUUCUGAGACGUGUAAUAAAAAAAAAAAGAAAUCCACAAUGUUGUCCAUGUAUCCGGCAAUGUGCACAAACGAUUAUACACUUUCGCACACACGUAUGCACACACACACACUCAUCCGAAAGACAUGCGGCAGAAACAAAGCAGCGGCGCCCGUGUGUUUCAUGGCGUGCCAGAGGCUGCCUGCGUCGGCCCUAAAUAUUACACACAGACAGUAGCUAUCACUUCCAAGCCUGAAAUCCCACAUUCCACAUUCCUGAUUCCAGCGGCUCGCCUGCUAAGCUGGGCACCACAUGAAGAGCCAUUGUUAGAGAGAGACGGGUCAUGUGUCUCUCUCGCUCUGUGUCUGUCUGUCUGUCUGUCUGUCUGUCCCGGCCCUCCUCCUCCUCCUCCUCCUCUCGCUCGCUGUCAUAUAGUCUCCGUCUGUGACUCUCUGGCUGCGUCUGUCUAUCCGUUCCUCCCUCUGUCGUUUUAUCGCUCUUAUUCCUUCUGUCCCUCACUCCGCUUUGUUUAGUUCAUUCCGUGCCCUUCUCAGCCUCCCGUUUCCCACUUACUUUUCUUUCUGCUGCCCCCCCCC